CCUACGGGAGGCAGCAGUGGGGAAUAUUGGACAAUGGGGGCAACCCUGAUCCAGCCAUGCCGCGUGUGUGAAGAAGGCCCUCGGGUUGUAAAGCACUUUCAGUGAGGAAGAACGCCUGGUGGUUAAUACCCAUCAGGAAAGACAUCACUCACAGAAGAAGCACCGGCUAACUCCGUGCCAGCAGCCGCGGUAAUACGGAGGGUGCGAGCGUUAAUCGGAAUUACUGGGCGUAAAGCGCGCGUAGGUGGCUUGAUAAGCCGGUUGUGAAAGCCCCGGGCUCAACCUGGGAACGGCAUUCGGAACUGUCAAGCUAGAGUGCAGGAGAGGAAGGUAGAAUUCCCGGUGUAGCGGUGAAAUGCGUAGAGAUCGGGAGGAAUACCAGUGGCGAAGGCGGCCUUCUGGACUGACACUGACACUGAGGUGCGAAAGCGUGGGUAGCAAACAGGAUUAGAUACCCUAGUAGUC
rnacentral:rRNA from 1 species